UAUAGCAUGGACGCAGUCUGACCAGCCAUGCCGCGUGCAGGAAGAAUGCCCUAUGGGUUGUAAACUGCUUUUAUUUAGGAAUAAACCCCUUUACGUGUAGAGGGCUGAAUGUACUAAACGAAUAAGCACCGGCUAACUCCGUGCCAGCAGCCGCGGUAAUACGGAGGGUGCAAGCGUUAUCCGGAAUCAUUGGGUUUAAAGGGUCCGCAGGCGGAUGUAUAAGUCAGUGGUGAAAUCCUGCAGCUUAACUGCAGAACUGCCAUUGAUACUGUACAUCUUGAAUUCGGUCGAAGUGGGCGGAAUGUGUAGUGUAGCGGUGAAAUGCAUAGAUAUUACACAGAACACCGAUAGCGAAGGCAGCUCACUAGGCCUGGAUUGACGCUCAGGGACGAAAGCGUGGGGAUCAAACAGGAUUAGAUACCCUGGUAGUCCACGCUGUAAACGAUGAUUACUCGUUUUCGGCGAUAUACAGUCGGAGACUAAGCGAAAGUGAUAAGUAAUCCACCUGGGGAGUACGAUCGCAAGGUUGAAACUCAAAGAAAAUUGACGGA
rnacentral:rRNA from 1 species